CUCGAUGAGUAGGGCGGGACACGUGGUAUCCUGUCUGAAUAUGGGGGGACCAUCCUCCAAGGCUAAAUACUCCUGACUGACCGAUAGUGAACCAGUACCGUGAGGGAAAGGCGAAAAGAACCCCGGCGAGGGGAGUGAAAAAGAACCUGAAACCGUGUACGUACAAGCAGUGGGAGCCUCUUUAUGGGGUGACUGCGUACCUUUUGUAUAAUGGGUCAGCGACUUAUAUUCUGUAGCAAGGUUAACCGAAUAGGGGAGCCGAAGGGAAACCGAGUCUUAACUGGGCGUUAAGUUGCAGGGUAUAGACCCGAAACCCGGUGAUCUAGCCAUGGGCAGGUUGAAGGUUGGGUAACACUAACUGGAGGACCGAACCGACUAAUGUUGAAAAAUUAGCGGAUGACUUGUGGCUGGGGGUGAAAGGCCAAUCAAACCGGGAGAUAGCUGGUUCUCCCCGAAAGCUAUUUAGGUAGCGCCUCGUGAAUUCAUCUCCGGGGGUAGAGCACUGUUUCGGCAAGGGGGUCAUCCCGACUUACCAACCCGAUGCAAACUGCGAAUACCGGAGAAUGUUAUCACGGGAGACACACGGCGGGUGCUAACGUCCGUCGUGAAGAGGGAAACAACCCAGACCGCCAGCUAAGGUCCCAAAGUCAUGGUUAAGUGGGAAACGAUGUGGGAAGGCCCAGACAGCCAGGAUGUUGGCUUAGAAGCAGCCAUCAUUUAAAGAAAGCGUAAUAGCUCACUGGUCGAGUCGGCCUGCGCGGAAGAUGUAACGGGGCUAAACCAUGCACCGAAGCUGCGGCAGCGACACUAUGUGUUGUUGGGUAGGGGAGCGUUCUGUAAGCCUGCGAAGGUGUACUGUGAGG
rnacentral:rRNA from 1 species